CGGGACCGAGGCGCACGAGCGCGGGCUGGGUGCCCUGCCGGAGGUGGGUGCUCCAGGCGGUGGGAAAGAAAGACAGCGCUCACCCGGGCCCGGGCCGCGUUCCCGGGUCGUCUGCAGGAACCCAAGGCAUUGAGGAACAUACAAGAAGAAAGGGUAGGUAGGCAUAGUGUUGCUGGGCUGCCCCGACUUCCGGGACCCCCCUAAACUUCCCCCAAACCCUAGCUGCCUCCUUUCGCCGGCCGUCGGAGCCUAGCUUGAAAAAAAAAAAAACAACCUGGUCCUUCCCUCCACGCCCCAGGAGGACGGACACCCUGCAACCACGAGCCAAAUGAUAACACCCAAAUGCCUGCACCAUUAAAAAUUUAAAAAGCAGCAGCGGCACCCCCAAACCUUAUUAAACAUUCAAAUAGAAAAAUUAAGAUAUUCUGGGCAAAAGAAGUGUUUAGACAAAGGCUGUCUGCUUCAAUUUCCCCGUUAAGCGGCGAACAGGCUGCUCGGAGAGAGAGUGACGGUGGAUUCCAUAAAUUAACAGAAAAUCCCUCUUCUCCGGAGCCCAAGUUAUCUCUCCGUUGCCUGCAGCCCUGAUUUAGAAUGGGAGCCGGCUUGUUUACCGGUUUAAUUAAUGCUUCUUUUCAAGCGGGGAGGAGGGGAGGGGAAAUGAAGUGACUUGGUGAUAAACAGGUGUAGCCGGCCUGCCGCGAGCUCUCGGGGCCGGCGGCAGCCUCAUCAGGCUUGACUGGGCAUGACCCCGCCAGCGAAAAAGGUAGAUGGCCCAGUUGGAAGCGCAGUAGGUCCUGCUGCUGCUACUGCUAAGUUGCUUCAGUCAUGUCCGACUCUGUGUGACCCCAGAGACAGCAGCCCACCAGGCUCCCCCGUCCCUGGGAUUCUCCAGGCAAGAACACUGGAGUGGGUUGCCAUUUCCUUCUCCAAUGCAUGAAGUGAAGAGUGAAAGUGAAGUUGCUUAGUUGUGUCCGACUCUUAGUUGCAGCCUACCAGGCUCCUCCGUCCAUGGGAUUUUCCAGGCAAGAGUACUAGAGUGGGGUGCCAUUGCCUUCUCUGAUCUUAGGUCCUAGUGUUACUGAAAUCUAGCCUCAGGUAACUUCCCAAGAAGAGGUGUGUUGGAGACAAGCUUUAUCUAUUCUUGUUUUUUUCUAAAAACGCUUAUGUUAUCCCUCCACUUGACUGAGGGUUUACAUAUAGGAUCCUAAACUGAAAAUAAUUUUCCUUCAGAAUUUUGAAGACACAACUCCAUUAUAUUCUGGCUCUAGUGUUGCUGAGGAGAAGUCUGACACCAUUCUUAUUCCUGUUCAUUUGUAGGAAUUUGAUCUUGCUCUCUGAACCUUUUACAAUCUACUCUUCAUACUUGGCACUUGAAAUUUGGCCAGGAUGCAUCCAGUUGUCCCAUUUUGUGCAGUCACUGGGCUGGACACUCAGUGGCUGUCUCAAUGGGAUGGAUAGUCUUUCUUCAGCCCAGGGAAACUUUCUACUGUACUUUCUUCCUUAAUUUUCUUUUUAAUUUUUGCUUUUUCUUUCUAGAUAACUAUUGGUUAGGUAUUGGAUUAUUCUUCUCUUUUACUUUUCUCUUUCAUUUUAUUUUUCUUUCUAUUCAGUGCUUGGUGAGAUUUCAGCCACUUUUCUAGUCCUUCCACCGAACACUUUAUUUCAUCACUUGACUCUAAUUUUCAAGAGCUCAUUCUCCUCAAAAUCCCAGUUUUAGAAUGUAUUAUCUUCCCAACCCUGAGAAUUCUAAAAAAACUGUAAAGUCAUCUUCUGCUUCCUGAAUCCUGUUUCUCCAGGAGUGAGAGUUUUCUGCUUAUUUCCAUAUAUCUCCUUUAUGCUGGUAGUUCUCUCUUUACUCUUCACAGACGCCUCCUUGGGUAUCUUUCAAUGUCAAAUUCAAAAGAAUGACAGAUGGUGUGGAAUCACUGUGCAGCAAUGCGUCCACCUUGCUUCAGUGGGCUUCCCUGAGCCUUUCUGAGAUUUUCUGGGUAAACCUGUCUCCUGCCUCCUCUGUUGCCUCUUAUCCUGUGUGUGGUUUCCUUCAGCUGGUUCCUCGGAAAGCUUCUCCCAUACACCUGACAUACUUACUUACCUCUCUCAUAUGUUGGUGGCCUCUGCCUUCCUUCUUUAAUAUGACAUAUUUACAUCUUCUUGGAAUUCUAAAACCUUAACAAAAUUUUGGAAAGAUAGGAGGGCAAAGGUAUGUCUUGGGUGCACCAACUUGAACUACAAGAUUAAGAAAUUUUUAUUUUCUUAAUUUUACAUUUUUAUCAUUUUAAUUCCUCCAUCUUUCUACAGCUUGGUGGCCCGAAGCCAGGAGCCCCACCUGAAGUUUAGCGUCUCCCCAGGAAAGUGUUAUUCCCGGAUGUUCAGCAUGUCAUGGCCCCUACUCUUACCACGGUCCACAUAAGCCAGAGCCAGUUUCCCCAGCUUGCUUUCUAUAUAGGUCUGAGGUGCCCAGAAGAUAGAAUGAGAACAACCCUUCCUUGGGCACCAUCCUUUCCCCUCAUCAUAGGGCCUGAGAGGCCCUGCACGCUCUACAAUACCACAGGCUCCCCUGCAUCCUCACUUCACCCUUCAUUACCCUCAGAUCUCAGCUCCAGCACCGUUUCCUCAGAAAACCUUCUCUGUUGUCCCUGACUUGUCAAAUUCCUCCAUCAUAUGGGGUCAUGGAGCAACUUCUCUCCCCUUUACAGCAUUUAUCGCAGUCUGUAAUAUUCAUGAAGCGAGACCACAAAUGUCUAUUUUCUGUUCACUUUGAUGUCCUAGACCCUUGAGCACAAACUGGCAUAUAGCAGGUGCUCAAGAAAUCUCUCUGGAACAAGUGAAUCAUUCUGAAGUUACCCCCAGGAGAAACACUCCUUCAGCUAACUGAGAAAUAACCCACAGGGUGACCAGGGCAACCCCACUCAGGCUCCACCCCAGAGACCCGAUGACUGAUGAGGCCCUCGUCCGCACUGACCAGGGCCUGAAUCCUGGGCUUCUGUGGGCGCUUGUCUGAAGCCCCAGAUCUGUUCAUGGAGAACUCCAUGGUCAGGGAGGAGGAUUCCAGUGCAGCCCUCAGGACGUGAGGCUCACGUGGCCUUCUGAGCACCCCAGCUUCUGUAGGGACUUUGGAACAGACAAAGUUAUGACUCAUCUCCAGACAAGGUCCCUGAAGCCUGGAAGGAGGGCGAACAGCCAACAUACCCAAAGGGCCAGGAGGAGCUUUCUUAGUUGAAGCCGUAGUCCCCGGCAGGGGGUCGGGGAGGGGUAGGGGUCCAGAGGCUGCCCAGAACCGAUGGCGACAUAGCUGGCUGGGAACAAUGGAGCCCCACACCUCAGCUACCAUUUUGGCUCUGGUUUCCCAGCAGUGAGGCUCUUAUUAAAUGUGGGAUUACCAUGUGUAAAGGACAGUGUGAAUUUUGUUUGCUCUGCCAUGUAACUUGCCUUUCCAAACAGUCAGUCAGAGCUGCAGUUAAUCUACUGACCGUGGGCUUAGCCGGCAGGUGGCCAGGAAGCCCCACCGAAUUCCUCUGAACCCUUUGUUACCUGGCCUGGAAGGAGAGAUCGCUUGUUUGGGAAGUGUUUCUCCUCCCUCGGAACAUUUUCUGUAUUAAGACUCUUUUGUCACCAUAAAGCUGAAGAGGGGAUUAUGAUGGGUAGGCUUCACCCAGAUUGCUUUCUCCAGAUGGGAAUGGUGUGCCGGCUGGCCUAAUGAAACCUUUCUUCGGGGGACAAUGCCUUUCCAUUAAAUUAAAGCUGAAGCCUCAACAAUGCCUCUGAACAAACUCCCAUUUGAAUAUUUAAUUUGGGAUGGAAGGAGCUAAGUAAACACCUCUCUCCCCUCGGCCCCUUUCUGG
ensembl:lncRNA